GUCAAUGAUGGUUGGCCAGGUUUUCACAUCCACAGCUGCUGCUGCCUCUCGGGACCUCAGUAGCCUCAUUAGGGUCUGACUGGUGAGAAUACAGGCUGCUUUGCUGACAUCAACAAUCAUUCGGACAGUGGGCAGCGUGGCCGUGAGGUUCUGAGCAUGUGGAGGUCUGACGGUCACAGGUAUACAGCCCGCAUACAGGCAGCCAUAGAAGGCGGCGAUUAACUCAAUGCCAGGUGGAUAGAGCAACACCACAUUAUCUCCUGCAUUUAGAUGUCCCUUAUCACCAAGAACAGAUGCA
rnacentral:lncRNA from 1 species